GCACGGGUGAGUAACACGUGAAUAAUCUACCUCCGAGUGGGGAAUAACUGAGAGAAAUCUUAGCUAAUACCGCAUAACACUUACGAGUCAAAGCAGCAAUGCGCUUGGAGAGGAGUUCGCGGCAGAUUAGUUAGUUGGCGGGGUAAUGGCCCACCAAGACGAUGAUCUGUAUCCGGCCUGAGAGGGCGCACGGACACACUGGAACUGAAACACGGUCCAGACUCCUACGGGAGGCAGCAGUGGGGAAUUUUGCGCAAUGGGGGAAACCCUGACGCAGCAACGCCGCGUGGAGGAUGAAAUCCCUUGGGAUGUAAACUCCUUUCGAUAGGGAAGAUAAUGACGGUACCUAUAGAAGAAGUCCCGGCUAACUUCGUGCCAGCAGCCGCGGUAAUACGAGGGGGGCAAGCGUUGUUCGGAAUUAUUGGGCGUAAAGGGUGCGUAGGCGGUUUGACAAGUCUUAUGUGAAAUCUUCGGGCUCAACCCGAAGUCUGCAUAGGAAACUGUCGGGCUUGAGUAUUGGAGAGGUGAGUGGAAUUUCCGGUGUAGCGGUGAAAUGCGUAGAUAUCGGAAGGAACACCUGUG
rnacentral:rRNA from 1 species